rnacentral:rRNA from 1 species
GACGAACGCUGGCGGCGUGCUUAACACAUGCAAGUCGAACGGUGAACCUCUUCGGAGGGGAUCAGUGGCGAACGGGUGAGUAACACGUGGGCAACCUGCCCCCGGCUCUGGGAUAACUCCAAGAAAUUGGGGCUAAUACCGGAGGUUCACCGCUUCCCGCAUGGGUGGUGGUGGAAAGGGUUUCCGGCUGGGGAUGGGCCCUCGGCCUAUCAGCUGGUUGGUGGGGUAGUGGCCUACCACGGCGACGACGGGUAGCCGGCCUGAGAGGGUGACCGCCCACCCUGGGACUGAGGCACGGCGCAGUAUCCUACGGGAGGCAACAGUGGGGAAUAUUGCGCAACGGGCGGACGCCUGACGCGGCGACGCCGCGUGGGUGAUGCCGGCCUUCGGGUUGUAAACCUCUUUCAGCGGGGACGAAGCGCAAGUGACGGUACCUGCAGAAGAAGCACCGGCCAACUACGUG